CUAUGGUCAAUUUACAUCAAAAUGAACGAAUAAUAAACAUAACCUUUUGAUAAUAAUUCGAAGCAGAUUAUGAGUGGUGAAAAGGACGUAUUUGAUUAUCUUCCUGAAGCAUCUAACGCCUUUUGUUGUUUCUCUUUGCAAUUUGGGUCCAUAGUUAUAGCGUUGAUCAUUGCGAUUUUCACGGCGACUACUCUGACUGAAGUUUGGCUUCAAACACCAUGUGCGUGUUUCUGUUGCUAUAAAAAUAAUGAAAAUUCAUGUGAAACAAAAACAGUGUACUAUGUUUUAAGGCAUUGCGACGCGGCGGUCGCCUGUGUUGUUUUAGUGGCGUGCAAGAUCUUUCUCGUUGGAGUUUGCACAAAAUCGGUCAUUCUCGCUACGGUAUAUUUAUAUAUGCUCACUAUCCACGUCGUAGUGACUGUUAUAAUGUAUACAGUAAUAACGAAUAUAAGCAUAUUUGUGCAAAAUUGUGAGGUAGACAAUAUUAAAUGUGCAAGUGCAAUGGUGGCCAUGACCAUAUUUUAUUUCUACUCUUUAGUAGUAGUGAAGAGUUACAGAGCAAUCAUGCCUAUAGAACCUUUAUAACCAAAAAUAUAUAUUGAUCUUUUUCAAUGUUAUCUACCAAGUACCAAUUACUGAAGAACUAUCAUCAAAUUGUCGACUAAGUCGUUGCUUAUCGGAAAGACAUACUGAUGCUGUGCCCCAUUAUUAAUCCUACCGGGGUGUACAGAGUCUGGGUUCG